rnacentral:pre_miRNA from 1 species
AAAAAGACAAACCCUGGGUUUUCGUGUCCAACUUUAACGGUCCGUCUUAUAUGAAAUUUUUUUAUAAUUCGUAUUUUCAUUAUUGUUAGAUGAUAAAACAUGAUUAAUAUUUUAUGCGUGACUUGUCUUUUUAUUUUUUUCAUAAUUUUUUCAAAUAAGACGGACGGUCAAACGUUAAACACGGAAACU